rnacentral:lncRNA from 1 species
GAGCCAUACAGCUCCAGAUGUGGGUCUGCUUUCUGAAAGACUAUUUUUGUUGUUGUUGUUGUUCACAUACACUUAAGGAGGGGCACAGCCUUCUGAGCCUCUGAGGAGAGUUCUCUGAAGAAUCAAAGGGCACAUAGCCAUUGGCAGCAAAGGUUUUUUGACUGACGGAUCUCUGCUCCUGGACAGACAGAACCAAAAUACACUCUGAACGACAACAGUAAGCACAAUCUCCAUAAAAAACCAAAGGAAGAAAUCUUAAGUCAGCCCCAAACUCCAGACUCUCUAGGGAAAGGCUCACUUGGCAAGGAGCCAACUACUCAUAAGGGAUUGAGGUCUCAGUUCAACAUAGUCUGUGAGGAAGUGAAUCCUGCCAACAACCAGUUGAGUAAGCUUAGAAGUAAAUCCUCC